GACGAACGCUGGCGGCGUGCCUAAUACAUGCAAGUCGAACGCAUUUUCUUUCACCGUAGCUUGCUACACCGAAAGAAAAUGAGUGGCGAACGGGUGAGUAACACGUGGGUAACCUGCCCAUCAGCGGGGGAUAACACUUGGAAACAGGUGCUAAUACCGCAUAAUUCCAUUUACUGCAUGGUAGAUGGAUGAAAGGCGCUUUUGCGUCACUGAUGGAUGGACCCGCGGUGCAUUAGCUAGUUGGUGGGGUAACGGCCUACCAAGGCUGCGAUGCAUAGCCGACCUGAGAGGGUGAUCGGCCACACUGGGACUGAGACACGGCCCAGACUCCUACGGGAGGCAGCAGUAGGGAAUCUUCGGCAAUGGACGCAAGUCUGACCGAGCAACGCCGCGUGAGUGAAGAAGGUUGUCGGAUCGUAAAACUCUGUUGUUAGAAAAGAACAAGGAUGAGAGUGGAAAGUUCAUCCCUUGACGGUAUCUAACCAGAAAGCCCCGGCUAACUACGUG
rnacentral:rRNA from 1 species